rnacentral:rRNA from 1 species
UGAGGAAGUAAAAGUCGUAACAAGGUUUCCGUAGGUGAACCUGCGGAAGGAUCAUUAUCGAAAUUGUAUAAAGUGAGGGUUGUCGCUGGCCUCCCCGGAGGCAUGUGCACACCUGAGCUCUUGAAAUCCAAUACACACCUGUGAACCCACCGUAGGCCUUCGGGCUUAUGCAUAAUAUAUACACAUGUCUUUAUAGAAUGUCGAAGGAGCGUGUUUCGCACGCGAAAUAUAAUAUACAACUUUCAACAACGGAUCUCUUGGCUCUCGCAUCGAUGAAGAACGCAGCGAAAUGCGAUAAGUAAUGUGAAUUGCAGAUUUUCAGUGAAUCAUCGAAUCUUUGAACGCACCUUGCGCCCCUUGGUAUUCCGAGGGGCAUGCCUGUUUGAGUGUCAUUAAAAUCCUCAACCCCCAUCGAUUCGAUUCGAUUCGAUUGGGGCUUGGACUUGGAGCGUGCUGGCGGUGAUCGUCGGCUCCUCUUUAAAUGCAUCAGCGGAACUGGUCCCGUUUCGGCGUGAUAGAUUAUGUUGCGUCGCGAGGGGCGAACCGGUUCUCCGCUUCCAACCGUCUUCGGACAAAAAUCGGUUGAUGACUUUGACCUCAAAUCAGGUAGGACUACCCGCUGAACUUAAGCAUAUCAAUAAGCGGAGGAAAAGAAACUAACAAGGAUUCCCCUAGUAACUGCGAGUGAAGCGGGAAGAGCUCAAAUUU